AUGACGUGGCUCUUGGCUGUUCUCCUGGCCCUGUCCCCAGGUGCCCGUUCCCAGGUGCAGCUGGCGGCGUCCGGCCCUUGGCUGGGGCAGGUUUCCGAGCCCCUCACACUCACCUGCGCGGUCUCGGGUGGCUCCGCCACUGAUGAUUACUGGGAUUGGUACCGGCAGCUCCCCCGGGGAGGGCUGGACUGGCUGGGAGAGAUUGACUGGUACAACUCGCAGUGGCGCGUAGACUACGCCCGGUCUCUCCAAGGCCGAAUAACCCUCUCCGCCGAUUCCUCCAAGAACCAGUUCUCUCUGCUGCUCCACUCGCUGACAGCUGCGGACACCGCCACCUAUUACUGCGCCCGGAGAGACACGGUGACACAGAGACAGGGAGCCCUCGGACAGAAAGGGGGGAACCCCUAUGCCCCGCCCCGGGGGGGCUGA